UAGACACAAUCACACAUACACACAAUCACACACAAUCACACACACACACCAUCACACACCCCCGCCGCGGCAGCCCCCUGGGUCUCGUCCGCCAGCUGAGAGAGGAAGGCAGGAGAGACCCGGAGGCUGCGCCCAGCCCGCGGAGCCCACCGGCCGUCCCCUCCAGGGUGAGUGCUGCUGCCAGGGUGCCCCAGCAUCACCCUGUUCCUGCUGUCGGCGCUGUCAAGCUUGCACGGGGCACCUCUGCUGCCCACCAAGCCCCGGGCCUGAGGGGGGGUGGCGGGGGGAGGCGACUAGAUCCAGGGCACGGGGCUAAGGAUGGGGCGGAGAGAGGCAGAGACAGUACUGAGAGCAUCAGCCCUUGGAACGGGAAUGAGAAUGGGACCGUGGAUGCGCUUGGGGAUUUCUACAAGGAUGGGAAUUGAGAUAGGGACUGGAAUGAAGGUAAGGAUAAGGUAGAGAAUGGGCAUGGGACCGAGGAUACGGAUGUGGGUGGGAUGCGGGUGGAGAUGGAGACGGUAACAGUGCUGGUGCCGAGGGAUCUCGCUGGUCCUGCCUGCCCCGCCGCAGUCGCAAUGCCGCGCUACGCCAAGAGUUAAAGGGGCUUGUCCAGCCGCAUCACCAGGCGGCCGCGGACAUUAGCAUGGAAAUGAGGGGCUUUUGGGACUGACGGCCAUUGUGGUCUCCCAGGCUCACCGGCCACCUCUGGCCUUCAUCCCUGCUCCCCCUGCACCUCCGCCGGGCUCACCCUCGCCAGCCCAGGGUCGGGGUAGGGAAGGAGGAGCCGGGGGCAGGAGGACGAAUGAUUGGACGGGGUCUCGGGGGCUCCGCAGCCCAUCUGCUGCGCUCCCGCAGCGCCGCUGCCGCCCGUCCGCCCUGGGACAGGGUGGGGGGAAGGCUGUUCUGGGUGCCGCAGGUCGCAGCUCUAGGAGGCGACCCGGGACAGGGGCAGAGGAGCGGCGGGAGGCGCAGGGCCCAUCGCUCCGGCCCCUUUGUCCCUGCGCUCCGUCACCCGGGUGGGCGGUGGGGAGAGGUGGCAGAUGGCCAGUGGCAGAGGCGGCCCCAGGACCCCUGGGAAUCGCGCUGAGAAUCGACUCCAACCUACCCCUCCCCAACACCGUGGGGAGGUGGGUCAAAAAAUGGGUCCGUGGCCAGAGAAGGAGGGAUGGCGGUGAGAUGUGGGUUACGACCUCGUAUUCGGUUUACGUAUGCGGAGAGGGAAAGGGGAGGUAAAGGCCGGGCAUCCGUCUGUCCCAGCGCACCCGGCAGGCAGAAAGGACGGCACCAAAAGUCGUCAAAAGAAGUUCUGUAAAACGUCAGCCUGGGAGAAAGAUGGAUGGAAAGUCAUGUCCCCUGACACCGGCCCCAGGAGGGGCUACCCCCUCUAUUUCUGCAGCGUUGUCAGCAUCCGGAAAUCUGGGCACAAAAGAAUCCCCAACAUCCCCAACCUUACAUGCACGUUGCGGUCCAAUUUAACCCAGUGGCAGAGGAGUGAAAAUGCCGGUGAGGCUGCUCGCUUUCCGCAGGGACAUGGCUGGAGCAGAGGGAAGGAGGAGAACCAAGGCCGAGGUUUCACCGCGCCCGCAGCUCAGCCAAGCUGUUGUUUUAAAAGGGCAAUAAAAGUGAAUUAUGACUAAACGCCUUCUCACUUAAUGGUUUUAGACGGGGAUCCCCAGCCCUGGCAAAUACGUAAGAGGAUUUUUAUUUGUGAAUGUGUUCCUGCAAUUGAUCUCUUUGAUGACAUUCUCAUUCAUAGAAAGAGUUUGAUUUAUGACUUUCGGAAGAAUUGCGUUCAGCCCUUCCAGCUAUAACCCACGCAUCCCAGCUCCACAGCGUAUUCCAGGGCUGGGAGACAGCACUGCUCGCACGGAUGGACAGCAGAGCUCCGUUCACAAGCCCCCAGCCAAGCCCCACUCGCUUCUGCGAUGUAAGCACUCGCACUCACUCGCACUCACUCGCCAGGAGCCGCGAUCGUCCCCGGCCGGAUCCCCUGGCCCCAGAGCGGCAGAGCCUCGCAGGCAUCUGUUGCUCGGUUUUAGCCCAAAGGACGGGGCUCACCCUCCGCUUUGGGGUUCGGCAGGGCCGGCUGGCAGGCAAUUUGGUGGAGAUUUCGGAAAGCCCGUCUUUGCCGCCUCCAGCAGAAGUGGGGAGCCCGAGGAAGCCGUAACUUUAAAAGCCAGGGUUUCCCCUUUACGUUAUGAGUCUCACCUCUCAAGAAGGCUUACAAAGAAAAAUAUCUUCGGGUCUGCCCUCGCACCGCCCCCGAGAAGGAUGGAGUGGGGAAGCCGGUUCCUCCCUAAAUACUUUUUUCUUCCCCCUGCGUUUCUGCCACCCUUUUGAUUUCACAGGCACUAACUUCUCCGUUCCUCUCCUCCUAGGACUGAUUUCUUGGAUUACUCGGCACGUGAGAAGUAACCAACCACAUUCUUUGUGAGCUCUGAUAAAUUUUAAGAUACGUUUUCUGAAAUAUCUUGCUGGCUGUUAAGCGCUGCUUUCUAGAAUAACAGGAUUAUUUAAAAAAAAAAAAAAAAAAAAACAAA